rnacentral:rRNA from 1 species
GAUGAACGCUGGCGGCGUGCCUAAUACAUGCAAGUCGAGCGAACGGACGAGAAGCUUGCUUCUCUGAUGUUAGCGGCGGACGGGUGAGUAACACGUGUAUAACCUACCUAUAAGACUGGGAUAACUUCGGGAAACCGGAGCUAAUACCGGCUGAUAUUUUGAACCGCAUGGUUCAAAAGUGAAAGACGGUCUUGCUGUCACUUAUAGAUUGAUCCGCGCUGCAUUAGCUAGUUGGUAAGGUAACGGCUUACCAAGGCAACGAUGCAUAGCCGACCUGAGAGGGUGAUCGGCCACACUGGAACUGAGACACGGUCAAGACUCCUACGGGAGGCAGCAGUAGGGAAUCUUCCGCAAUGGGCGAAAGCCUGACGGAGCAACGCCGCGUGAGGGAAGAAGGUCUUCGGAUCGUAAAACUCUGUUAUUAGGGAAGAAAAUAUGUGUAAGUAAAUGUGCAGAUAAUGACGGUACCUAAACAGAAAGCAACGGCUAACUACGUG